AUGUGCGCUGGGAACGCGUCGACACGGAGGCCUGGGAUAAAGGUUUGGGCAUUCGAGAGAGUGAGAAGUUUUGGGUAACGCCUGGAGACGAGCCUGAGCAGGGACGGGGUCCUAGGUGGAAGUAUGGACGGGGGCCGGGCGGGCUCACGUUGCUAGUAGGUAGGGCAAAAGCAAGAGACUGGGAUAGGAUGGGCGUGCUCCGAAAGAGCUGGGUUUUAACCCCCUCCACAGCGCGGACCACGCCCCUCAAGGUGAGCCCUUCCAGCCACCCCUGACUGUCUCUGCCCCUGCUCUCCCUCUCCCUUUCUCUUCAGCAGUAACCCUCCUCCCCACCCCCGCUAGAAGAGGGGAAAGGUAGAAAAGGUAGAGGACGCCACCCCCACCCUACUCUCCGCCGAGCUCCGGGGCUGUUCGCUUACAGCCCCCAGGUGGUCACGGUCCCUGCACCUGAGGAGUUGGCACCCAGGCACAUGAAGAAUAGAAGGAGCCUGUUUCCUACUUCGCCCUGGGUACUCCUUAGGCCACUCCACGGUCCUGUCAUGACUCUGUCGCCACUUCAACUGGUUCUUGGUCUGGGGGAAAACAAUGUUUCCAUUAGCUGUCCUGUCCCCACUCCCCAAUCUGUCCUGUUGGGGUGGGGGUACGGGGGUGGUUAAGUAUGAACCUGACACUUAUCAUUCCAGGGUAGCACGGGAGACAGGCGAGGGACCUACCAUCUCCUGCUCCUCCUCUUCGUUUCCAACCACUUUCCUUCACUUCGCCUGCUGGGAAACCAGCUUCACCCUGAUCCUGAUCUCUGGCGGUAGCUAGUUAUCCUUUACCACUUCUGUUCCAGCUGGUCCCAGAUUCGCUGCUGGAGUGCUGGAUGGAGCCUUUCUCUGCCCUCUGUGACAUUUCCAAUUUUAGAUAAUGCCUCACAUCUCUGUACCCCCGGGACCCCCUGGAGCCCCCAUGAUCCCUAAGAAGACAGCUUGAACCUAGGUGAGUCUAUCUCUUCCCUUCUAAAAUUGGAAGAGGGGUUCUCUAGAGACUUUCUGAAAUGAACAUGAGAUUUGAAUGAUGUAAACAUUUUUGGGGGUGAGGACUGACAGUAGAUGGUGGGAGUGGUUUGGGGGGAGGUAGAGGAGAGCGAAACUUGGGCUGAAGUGACAGGUGGUAGGGUUACUGGUGGUUACAUUCUGUUUCCUUGCGUGACUGUGCACCUGUGUGCUCCCUUCUGUGACUUUGUUUUCUGCUUUUUCCUCUUUACCCCUGGCAUCACCUUCAACCCUACCUACUGACCUCUCUGCUGGCUUGCUCUCUUCCUGCCUACCCCCAGAAUUCCCCUCUCCCUCCCUAGAUCUCACCCCCAGGAUGUUGCGGAGGCUGCUGGAGCGGCCUUGCACGCUGGCCCUGCUUGUGGGCUCCCAGCUGGCUGUCAUGAUGUACCUGUCACUGGGGGGCUUCCGAAGUCUCAGUGCCCUAUUUGGCCGAGAUCAGGGGCCGACAUUUGACUAUUCUCACCCUCGUGAUGUCUACAGUAACCUCAGUCACCUGCCUGGGGCCCCAGGGGGUCCUCCAGCUCCUCAAGGUCUGCCCUACUGUCCAGAACGAUCUCCUCUCUUAGUGGGUCCUGUGUCGGUGUCCUUUAGCCCAGUGCCAUCACUGGCAGAGAUUGUGGAGCGGAAUCCCCGGGUAGAACCAGGGGGCCGGUACCGCCCUGCAGGUUGUGAGCCCCGCUCCCGAACAGCCAUCAUUGUGCCUCAUCGUGCCCGGGAGCACCACCUGCGCCUGCUGCUCUACCACCUGCACCCCUUCUUGCAGCGCCAGCAGCUUGCUUAUGGCAUCUAUGUCAUCCACCAGGCUGGAAAUGGAACAUUUAACAGGGCAAAACUGUUGAACGUUGGGGUGCGAGAGGCCCUGCGUGAUGAAGAGUGGGACUGCCUGUUCUUGCACGAUGUGGACCUCUUGCCAGAAAAUGACCACAAUCUGUAUGUGUGUGACCCCCGGGGACCCCGCCAUGUUGCCGUUGCUAUGAACAAGUUUGGAUACAGGUAGAGGGCAUGGAAGGGUACUGGGAAACAGGGAAGCCUACUAUCCUGUGGAAGGAGGAGAGCCAAGCGGAUUGUGGUUGGGGAUGUGUCCCCAGAAGACUCGGGGUAUGCAAGGAUCUUUCUCUCCCUAGCCUCCCGUACCCCCAGUACUUCGGAGGAGUCUCGGCGCUUACUCCUGACCAGUACCUGAAGAUGAAUGGCUUCCCCAAUGAAUACUGGGGCUGGGGUGGUGAGGAUGAUGACAUUGCUACCAGGGUGCGCCUGGCUGGGAUGAAGAUUUCUCGGCCCCCCACAUCUGUAGGACACUAUAAGAUGGUGAAGCACCGAGGAGAUAAGGGCAAUGAGGAAAAUCCCCACAGAUUUGACCUCCUGGUCCGUACCCAGAAUUCCUGGACGCAAGAUGGGAUGAACUCACUGACAUACCAGUUGCUGGCUCGAGAGCUGGGGCCUCUUUAUACCAACAUCACAGCAGACAUUGGGACUGACCCUCGGGGUCCUCGGGCUCCUUCUGGGCCGCGUUACCCACCUGGUUCCUCCCAAGCCUUCCGUCAAGAGAUGCUGCAACGCCGGCCCCCAGCCAGGCCUGGGCCUCUACCUACUGCCAACCACACAGCCCUCCGAGGUUCACACUGACUCCUCCUUCCUGUCUACCUUAAUCAUGAAACCGAAUUCAUGGGGUUGUAUUCUCCCCACCCUCAGCUCCUCACUGUUCUCAGAGGGAUGUGAGGGAACUGAACUCUGGUGCCGUGCUAGGGGGUAGGGGCCUCUCCCUCACUGCUGGACUGGAGCUGGGCUCCUGUAGACCUGAGGGGUCCCUCUCUCUAGGGUCUCCUGUAGGGCUUAUGACUGUGAAUCCUUGAUGUCAUGAUUUUAUGUGACGAUUCCUAGGAGUCCCUGCCCCUAGAGUAGGAGCAGGGCUGGACCCCAAGCCCCUCCCUCUUCCAUGGAGAGAAGAGUGAUCUGGCUUCUCCUCGGACCUCUGUGAAUAUUUAUUCUAUUUAUGGUUCCCGGGAAGUUGUUUGGUGAAGGAAGCCCCUCCCUGGGCAUUUUCUGCCUAUGCUGGAAUAGCUCCCUCUUCUGGUCCUGGCUCAGGGGGCUGGGAUUUUGAUAUAUUUUCUAAUAAAGGACUUUGUCUCGC
rnacentral:sRNA from 1 species